rnacentral:rRNA from 1 species
AUUGAACGCUGGCGGCAUGCCUUACACAUGCAAGUCGAACGGCAGCACGGGAGCAAUCCUGGUGGCGAGUGGCGAACGGGUGAGUAAUAUAUCGGAACGUGCCCGGUCGUGGGGGAUAACGUAGCGAAAGCUACGCUAAUACCGCAUACGAUCUACGGAUGAAANCGGGGGAUCGCAAGACCUCGCGCGAUUGGAGCGGCCGAUAUCAGAUUAGGUAGUUGGUGAGGUAAAGGCUCACCAAGCCGACGAUCUGUAGCUGGUCUGAGAGGACGACCAGCCACACUGGGACUGAGACACGGCCCAGACUCCUACGGGAGGCAGCAGUGGGGAAUUUUGGACAAUGGGCGCAAGCCUGAUCCAGCAAUGCCGCGUGCAGGAUGAAGGCCUUCGGGUUGUAACUGCUUUGUACGGAACGAAACGGUGAGCUCUAAUACAGUUUGCUAAUGACGGUACCGUAAGAAUAAGCACCGGCUAACUACGUG